GGGGAAUAUUGGGCAAUGGGCGAAAGCCUGACCCAGCGACGCCGCGUGAAGGAAGAAGGUCUUCGGAUUGUAAACUUCUGUUAUGGGGGACGAACACAUGACGGUACCCCAUGAGAAAGCCACGGCUAACUACGUGCCAGCAGCCGCGGUAAUACGUAGGUGGCGAGCGUUAUCCGGAUUUACUGGGUGUAAAGGGUGUGUAGGCGGGACUGCAAGUCAGAUGUGAAAACCAUGGGCUCAACCCAUGAAUUGCUUUCAAAACUGUUUUUCUUGAGUAGUGCAGAGGUAGAUGGAAUUCCCGGUGUAGCGGUGGAAUGCGUAGAUAUCGGGAGGAACACCAGUGGCGAAGGCGGUCUACUGGGCACCAACUGACGCUGAGGCUCGAAAGCAUGGGUAGCAAACAGGAUUAGAUACCCUGGUAGUCCAUGCCGUAAACGAUGAUUACUAGGUGUUGGGGGAUUGACCCCCUCAGUGCCGCAGUUAACACAAUAAGUAAUCCACCUGGGGAGUACGACCGCAAGGUUGAAACUCAAAGGAAUUGACGGGGGCCCGCACAAGCAGUGGAGUAUGUGGUUUAAUUCGAAGCAACGCGAAGAACCUUACCAGGUCUUGACAUCCGAUGCAUAGCACAGAGAUGUGUGAAAUCCUUCGGGACAUCGAGACAGGUGGUGCAUGGUUGUCGUCAGCUCGUGUCGUGAGAUGUUGGGUUAAGUCCCGCAACGAGCGCAACCCCUGUGAUUAGUUGCCAACACGUAAAGGUGGGAACUCUAAUCAGACUGCCGGUGAUAAACCGGAGGAAGGUGGGGAUGACGUCAAAUCAUCAUGCCCCUUAUGGCCUGGGCUACACACGUACUACAAUGGCGUCUACAAAGAGCGGCAAGCCUGUGAAGGCAAGCGAAUCUCAUAAAGGACGUCUCAGUUCGGAUUGAAGUCUGCAACCCGACUUCAUGAAGCUGGAAUCGCUAGUAAUCGCGAAUCAGCAUGUCGCGGUGAAUACGUUCUCG
rnacentral:rRNA from 1 species